UUUAGGAGGGCAGCUCUCUCCGGGGUCUCCCUCCCUCACACACAAACCCGAUCAGAUGCUUCAGGACCGGCCACUUUGCGAGGGGAUCAACACGGGAGGGUUUGUAUUACUCCAGACUUCAGGCAGGUUAGAUGCCUGCCUUGUACUCCUCCUGUCCCUUGUAGCCAGUACAAGGACUGGCGUAUGUUACUACUGAGUUAUACUUUAACUUCUCCACAGCAGAAGAAAGGAAUCGCUAAAGAUUGGCCGUCUCUGCAAACAGAAGCUUAAGUGACAGUUUUGACUAGCUGCUUCCAGGGAAAAGAGAGAAACCCAAAUGACCCAAAUGAAGGUUUCUCUAUAGAGCAAAGCAGUUGGUGGUUAUGAGAGUAAAAGCACCCCUUUCUUUCUGCUGGAGUCAUCAGCCUUAAAGAAAAGGGAAGGGUCAUAAACAAAAGAGGGCAAAAUGAAAAGGCACAAGGCAAAGUGCUGAGCCUUCACCUCUCAUCUUCAGAAACAGAAGGAGAAAGAAACUAUUGCUCUUGGCUUUAUUAGCUCCUUGCAUCUCUCUCACAUCUGUGACAGACCUAACCUUGCUUGCCCUGGUCCAGUAUAGCCGCAGGUGGCAGGUAUUUGCUGGGUUAAUAAUUCUGGAUGCAGACUCUACUUUCUUUGGUGACAAAGAGAUUUUUCAGUCCUCUUGCAUCACUUACUCCUUUUCCAUAUACCUUCUUGUCUGAACCGAUUCAACCCUCUGCUCUGUGGAAACAACAAAUAAUCAAAGUAAAAGAUUUUGAUUUUAAAAGUAUAUCUUUUUCUUUAUAUGGUUUACAGUGUGACCCCAAAAAAUAGUUGGAUAGGCUUAAGUGAGGCAAUGAGGGAAGCAGUUGUGAACAGGGUUCAUUUAAACUGCCAUUGCUGUUAUAGUGCAGAUGAUUCAUUAUACAGGGUUAGGUGCUGAUACCCAGAGUGCAUAGAGGAGCAGCAGAAGCACUCUAAUGCUGCUUUCUUAAUCUGGUGGCUUUCAGGGCCGGGACUAACCAGUAUCAGAUUAGUAGAGAGUUUGCAAAAGCAAUGUCACGCACACAUUUUCCACAGUCCUAGACAGGCAGGUUUUACAGCUGGGACCCAUCAUUGCUGGGCUCAGCUCUCCCACACAACUCUUGUGGAUGUACUGACAUAGACCUGACAUGCUGGCUCUUGGUUUGAUGCCUUUUCAGCCAGAAUCACCUUUCCACCUCUGCAACCCAACAUGCAUUUUUUAUGACUCCUCUUGUUUUGCUGAGCCUUAUGAGCCAACACGAGAUACUUUAUCACGAGGUUUCUUUGUACUUUUUUUACAACAACAACAAUAAAGUUUGUUUUUACGUCAGCCUGCCCUGUUUAUUAAAAUACAAAUCCAUUAGGUUCACAUCCAUAUGGUCAAUCUCUUUUUGGUUCCUGACCCACAAAAUUCCUGAUAAUGAUGGUGACUGGCCUAAAGCUUGCCUAAUCACAAUAAAUCCUGUCCAGACUAAGGGCUCUGUCCUGCCCUUGGUGACCCUCUUACGCAUUGCAGCUUUUCAUGUAAGUUUAGACUAGUACUUUUUUAAUCCAGUCUUAUUCAAAAUGAAACAAAUCUCUGCCAUGAUUGUGAAAACCGGCAGACAGAACCAUGCCAGAAUCUCAGGCAAAAUUAAAAGUGAACAACUCAUGUGAAUAGGCAACGUGAUGCACAGUGGGCAAGACAAACAGCUCAGAAAGCCUGGAAUGGAGCCAUUUGCUUUAGUUAGCCAUACCAAGUUAUGUUGUCCAAGAACCUGGCUUGCUUUUUGAAAAGAAAUGUUUUGGAUGUGCUAGAAAAAUCAGGUGCAUAAAUUGCUGCUGCUCCUAUGACACUUAAACUCGAAUGACCAGUGUUUAUUCAGUCAACUACAAUAGGUCUCACUGUCCUUGGCAGGAUUAUGGGGGUAAUAUUUUUUAACAUGGAUGAGCUGAGCAGCUUUUGAACAGUUUCUCCAGUGUAUUAAGCCUGAACGGGCUUUUCUUCAGUAUCAGGUGUGCACAUCUCCUCACACUUGUUUCUCUCCACCAAACAUAUUUAUUCUGAGGGUGAAACUUCCCCUCCUACAAAUGUUUGCCUUCUCCAUUCCUUUUAUGGGAACACCACAAACUGAUGGAGUGAUCUUGUUUCAUAUGCCUAACCUGUCUUAUUCAUUUAUAUAAUCACAGAUGAUAUUCACUAUUGUUAAAGUAUAUUGUUAUGGCUUCUUCAUUGCUUGCAAAGGAACUUGUGAGCAAAGAUAAACACAGGUUAUGAUAGAUGAUAGAUACUCUGCUAAAGACUUUAUCCUGUAGUUUCUUAUUGGCAAAAAAUCCCAAGGGAUUUUAUAGUACUCAAAAAAAUGCAAGCUUAGAUUAAAAAAAAAAAAAGUAGUAAAAUAUUGUUGACUUAUUCUGCCUUUAUAAAAAGUUUUGGAGGCCUUGAAAUAUGCUCUGCUGCCCGCUGGACACUAAGGACUUCAAACCACUAAAAUAAACAAGAAUGUACGUAUCUUCUAUGUAAGAAUAACUGCUAGAACAACAUGACUUGUACACAGAUAGCACAUAUUAUCUCAACCUCUGUAUCUUAGGAUCUUCAUUUUCUGAAUGAGAAGUGCUACCAGUUCGGCUAAAAGAGAAUACUCAAAAAAAAGCUUGAAGAACGAUGGUUUAAUCCUUUCAUUAGUUAUUAAUUCAUUACCAAAGCAGAGGGUGCUUUUGGUUUUGUGUGUUUUCUCCCCCUCCAGCAUUUUCUUAAGUGUUUACUAAUUUAUUGGAAUAUAUUCUCCCAUGUUCAUAUAAUUUCCUUAGGCAAUGUUGUGGCUGCUUUCAUAGAACAGCUGUAUCAGGAUUGAGGAAUUGGUAAUUGGCAACCUAACUUUGAAGAUGUAGAUGAGAAAUUCCCUGUAUAGCAUCCAAAUCUACAGAAGAUUUACAGCAUGAAACAAACAAGCAUGUGCAGGCUGAAGUGGAAAUAAAGUUCUUUACACCACACACAUCCUGAAUAAAACUGCAUAUUUUAAUUGUAUUUUUGUUGCCUUUGUCAUUGAAAAAGGUACUCUGAGCUUAAUCCUGCUGCUUUAGAAAUAAGGUCCAGCAAUCUAAGGUAUAUGGAAAGACAUCACAAGUCUACAAAGAGUAGUAUAUUGAAAGAUAAUACCUUCAUUUGCUUGGACAAAUUCUCAUUUUAAUUAUUUGAGACUCCAAACUUCCUUUUCCUUUAAGUGGUAUUCCUUAAAGUAUGUCUUCUCAGCUCAAGUGUCAGAUCAAUUAAUUUUUUCUCUUUUUGUUUGCUCUAGAGGAGACUUCUUUUAUUACAAGAAAAGGGGAAAAAAAUGUACAUGUGUGAUAGUAACUUUAAUUAUUGAAGGUUUUUGACAACACCAAUGAAAAAGCUUCCCACAAAGUCAGCUUUGAGCAUAGCCAGUGACAAUGCUGUGAAGCUAUAUGCUAGCUUGUCAGACUAAUUCUGGUGUGUGGCAAACCAAAAGAGUCCAAAAUGUCACUCAACAUUUUGUUCCAUGAGAAAAAUUAAGCAAGACAGGCAGAUUAAAAUUAAGGAAGUGUAUGGAGAUUACAAUCCAGAUUAUUCUUUCCAGCUCAUAAUUCUCUUAAAACCCUUUGGUGAAUUUUGUGUCUUCAGGGCAUCUCAGGCUUGGUGAACUUUGCAAUACUGCAUCGUUGUGCAUGGACUUUCAAAACCUAUGUGCAUACAAGCAGCAGUGUUAUUGGAGUCUUUGUUCAUAUAGUGUUAUUUUAAAUUCAGACAUCAGUAUUUACAGCAGAUUAACAAAGAGAUGCAACAAGAGACCUGAAUGAUCUAGAGUAAGUCAGAAACAUCAAAGCACAGACAAUUUAUAGAAGGAUCAGAGAAACACAGAGCCCAGUGUAUUAUAACCAACACAGUUAAAGCAAUGACAUUUAGCAACCAGCAGCUUCUCAGUGACACUUUUUAUUUUGCCUGCUAGAUAGAGGACGCACACAAAGUCUCAUUUCAGGUCUAUCUUUCCUUCACUUUUGGAUUUGAUUCAUUUGAUCAGUCUGUCAUUGUGACACUAAGUGGCCCUAUUGUGGAAAUUCUCCAGCAGAAUGCAGUUUGUUUUGAACUGGAAAGCGAGAUGCUACCACCAUAAGAAUACAUGGUGACCUAUAAAUGUUAUGGAUAACAUUUUAACUGAAGGAAUUUUUAAGUUCCCAAAUGGCUGAUGAGGGAACCAACAUUCCCUUUCCCUUUUCAGCUCCUGCAGUUGUAGUUUUGCUAUUUCAGAGCUGUUCACAUUCCACAUAUGGAAUAUUUUCUGGAACAUGCAAGACCCAGCUGAGGUCCUUGGCAAAGCUGGUUGGAAGCCAUAAGCACCUAACUAUUAGCCCAGCUUAUCUCUUGUGUAUACACAGCUCUUCAUUUUAACAAAUAUUCUGACAAAUACUUCCGCUGUAGGAGAUGCAUUUUCAACAGUCUGUUCCAAGAAACAUUUAUGCGCACACAUAUAUGUAUAUAUUUAUAUAAUAGAACAGCUCCAAAG